CACCCAUCCUCCCAUACACUUUAAAUCAUCUCUAGAUUACUUAUAAUACCUAAUACAGUGUAAAUGCUAUGUUGCUGUUAUGCUGUAUUUUAAAAAUUGUAUGAAUAUAUACUGUCGUUUUGCUAUAUUUUAUUGUUUGGUGUUUUUUUUCCAAAUAUUUUUGAUCUGAGGUUGGUUGAAUUUGAUGAGGAACCAGCGGUUACAGAGACGCCAACUGUAUACAAGUUCCAGGAAUUGCCUACAUCCAACUAGAAAACGAAGGCAAAUUUAACUAAGCCUAAUACCCUGCUGUUUGACAUUUGAAAUGACACUGAGUUAAUAGUCAAGUUCAACAUGAACUCAAUAGUAUUUUUCAUAGGGACAGUAAUUAUUUACAAACAUGGCCCAUCCUGAGCAAAUUUUGUGGUUGUCUGAAACCCAUUGUUUUGUGCUGUUUGCCUGCAUUUAGCCUUUAAGUCUUGCAUUUUUUUUUCAUGUACAUUAGUUGAGGUGAUGUUGGCACAAAACUUUUUAGUUGGAUUGGAAUCAGAUUGCCUGGGGACAGUGUUGGAAGUGAUAAUGAUUUUGAGAAAGAGACUCAGUAUCCUUAAUUUUGAUAUUCCUCCAAAGAUCUUAAAUUCCUGGCAACCGGCAGGAUGACUAACUUCUUUAUGUAACUGCCCUACUCAGACCAAACAAGCCAUGCAUUUGCCAGCUAUAACUGCCAUGAUUUAACUUUCUAGCAAGGAUUGUGUUGAUCUCCCUGAGUUCUCUUCACUUUCCAAAAAAAGGUCACAGGAAACCCCAGGCAAAGGACUUGGUUUACAACCAGGUGUAUUAAAAAAGUACGGUUGCGGCAUGAAGCUACUUUCAGUCUGAAGGACACUCUUUGAUGGAAGCAUGAGAUUCUCAGUGCCAUGCUCAGGACACAUUAGGAGAUAGCUCUAAGGAUACUUAAAGAGACAUUUGAUAUAGGACAAAAUAUGGCUGCAUGGGAUGAAGGGGUUGUUUGAGGCAUUAUAACUAAUGUGAUGGACACAAACUAUCCUGAAGAAAACACAAUAGUCAUGCCCACAUUUUCACCUAUGCCUGUGAACUAUGGGACCAAAAUAUGAGAGUUCUGUAUGUGUACUCCAAACAUGAUUAUUUCCAAAUGAAAGCUAUGGUGUGCCUCACCUCAGAAAUAUUCCUUUCUUUGCAUCUUUUUCUCUCUUCCUAAUUUGAAAAUUAUAAUCUUGUUCAUCCACCCAGUCCAGCAGAGGCCUGUGAUGUGGAUCUUGGCCUUCCCACCAACCAUAUAUUAAAUGGAAGGCAAAAUACACCAAGUGCCAUGGAAAAGGCCAUUUCAUGGCUGUUAGACAACGCACCUUUUGUGGGGAGAGAGCAUUUCCAUUGCAAGUAAUACUGAAGGAAAGAGCAUCUCCCUAUAGUUACACACAGAGCAUGAAGCCAAUGGUUUGCUCUUCUGACAAGAGAUUACAGAUAAGGAAAUGCUGGGUGGUAAGUCAUUUCUCUGAAUGUAUAUCAUAACUGAUUCAUGCAAUAAAAGGAAAAUUUUCUUUGUUGGAUUAAAAAUGUUACAAUGAUCUACACUUUGCCCUGGGGAUGAGAUAUCGCAUUUCUGACAGGAAUUGUAGGGGAAACUGGGGUAAAUAAAUGUUUCCUAAUUUAGGCAAAGAUCCUGGUAUCCUUUUUCAGUCCUUGCAGCAAUAAUCAGAACACUGAGGCCAGUAAAGUAUGUCACCUGUGGACAAAUAACUAUUAUGUGACAGAACUUUCAAGGUUCAGCCGUUGUCCACAUUCUUGACACCAUAUGCUUCCCCCUAACUUCAUUAAGCCCUCUAUCCUCCCUGAAUUCUAGAUGUGACUUAUUAAAGGCUGCCCUUGAGUUAUAACACUUUUUGAGAGGAAUGAAUGGUAACUAUUUGUUAAUUAUUGAUGUGUCAUGCACUAUGUCAGGUGCAUAUUGUGAGACUGCUGUCAUCACAACUCUGUGGUAGCUGGUAGUUCUUUAGAAACUGUCUUCAUUGAAUGAGUUGAUGCUUUCACUGGAGACAAAAUGAAAACAGAGUCUGAUGUCAUGAUUAUUCCCAUAUUUGUCUGCACUUACAGAAGGACAUCCUUUACAGUGGCUCUGGAAGACCUGCCCCACAAUGGGAAUGGCCGUGUACUUUGAAUCAACUGCUUUGAUUAUGGCUGCAGCCUGCUUUCCAGACAUCAAUCUUGGGCCUGCUUCGGUUGUCUUCAGCUCUAAUUUCUGCCUGCAUAAUACCAAAGGGAAAUGCUAUAUUAUAAUCAUUCUUUUGAGUGAACAAGAUACUAAUUGCCAUUCUUUUGGCAAACAAGAUAGUAAUUUAUUCAAGUUGUAUAUAGCCAUGUCUUUCAAACUGUGAUAUCUCCAGAGGUAACUGAAAGCUCAUUAUGAAGUCUUUCUGGAGCAACAAUUAUAUUAAAAGAUUUGAAAAUUUAAGUUUGCAUUUUCAAAAUAUUAUUUCAACAGUAUACAGGGAAGAAAAAUUGCCUGGAUGAUGAAUAAGAUAUGCAAUGUCAGCUCUUUUGAAUUUAGCCCAGCUUUCUGAAAAUGAUAUCGUCAAUACAACCACGUGUUACUUAUUAACCAAGACAGCUAGAAAAUCUUAUUUUCCAAAAAUAGUCUCAACUCUAUUUUUGUCUGACAUGCUCUUCCAGAACCUGUCUGUCAUCAAAAGGUAGGGUCUACAUCCCUCUCCUUGAACCUGGGUAGGACUCUGUGACUGCCUCAACUAAUAGAGGAGACUGAAAGUAACACUGUGUGAUCUCUAAGGCUAUGUCUUAAAAGAGAAUUCAGCUUUUCUCUGGCACACUAUCAGUACAUGUGCUUCGGAGCCUUGAGCUACUACAUAAGAAGUCUGACAUGAAGCUGCAGUGCUGAGAGGCGACAGGGAAAUAAAGAUAGUUGCAUGAGGAGCCUCAGAUGUUUGAGUCUUUCCAGCCCAUGCACCAGAUACAUGGGGGAACCACCUUUGAAUAGUUUGACUGUCUGAAACUACAUAAUAGAUGCCUAGCAAGGCCAAGGCAAGCCUGUAAAUUAUGACAGAGAACAGUACAGUGAUUGUUGCAUUUUAUACCACUAAAUCUGGGGUUGUUACAUAGCAAUGGAAAUCUCAUAGGCCUGAUAAGUUAUUUAAAAUAUUUAUUUUAUAUGAAAAUAUAAUAAAACACUAUAGAUAUACCAGUAGUAUAUGAAGUAGAAUGCAAAAUUCUAUUCCAGAUGAGACUUCUAUAAAAUUUCAAGCAUUUUAAUCAGGCAUUUUUACUACUAUUUUGCAUCUAUUUGGUGCUAAUAUUACAGCUACUCCAGAGAAAUUUUUUGAGAAGCAAUGGCAUAAGGUAUAACACAUUCACUGCUAGAAAACAUUGUUUUCUGAAUUAAAAUCUGAAAAUAACAGAAACUCUAAGAUUUAACAUUCUAGUUCUUAAUCCUGUUAGAACAAUUCUGUCCAGAGAAUGGUCUUCAAAUGAUAAACAGGCCUAAAUAUUUAAGUUGCAUAAGUCAUAUCAAAAAUUUUGUCACAUCUCUUCACUAC
rnacentral:lncRNA from 1 species